rnacentral:tRNA from 7 species
GCCUUCGUAGCUCAGGGGAUAGAGCACCGCUCUCCUAAAGCGGGUGUCGCAGGUUCGAAUCCUGCCGGGGGCACCG